rnacentral:lncRNA from 1 species
GGAGAACCAUAGACACCUCAGAAGCCAGGAAAUGUCCUGCCUGGAACUCCCUGCGCACACCUGUGACUUCUCAUGCAAGAGGUAGAUGAAGAAAUGACCCACUGAGUACAGGAAGUAUCUCCUUUGGUAAACCCGGAUUAAGUUCUGCUAAAAUGCAAGUAUCUCCCAUCUCCCCAUCCCCCGCAGACCAAGUACAGUGAAGGGGACGAGGGGAAGAAGUCCACCCUGCGUUUGAGGGCUGGGGCCAAGACCCCUCAUUCCCGCUUCACUCAUCUGUGCUUCACAUCUCCUGUCAUUCACAUCUGUCAAGAUGCAGGGGGCAGAGCCCGAAGCUGUACCCAAUCAGGGGCGCCGGGGAGGAGCUCUGCGAUCGGUCCAAUCAGGCGCGCCGUCGGGGACGCAGCUGCAGACGUUCAACCUUCUCGCGGGAUUUUCAUUUCUCGCGUCUGCCGUACUUGGUUUCGCUUCGCUAGUCCCAGAGGCCCAGAGUGGCUCGCCUGGAGUCUCUGUGGCGCGGUUUCCCGUACCUGCCUUGGGAUCCGGAGGGAGGAAGCUGGGACACCC